rnacentral:sRNA from 1 species
UGUAAGAAACAUAAUCAUGUUUGGGC